GGUGCACACUCUUGCAGGCUUCCUACUAACCCAGACUGACUCACACCAUCUAACUGCUCAGUGGUUGUUUAUAGACACUUAAGAAAGACAAGCUGAGCGUGGUCCUCGUCCUAUAGCCAGUUCUGUCACUCAGGUAGAGCCUGAUUAGUCUCAUAGCAUUGGAGGUCACAAACGCCAUUUCCAGGGUGACCUCUUUCUGUGUGCCCACAUGAUGCAAAGGGGUCAAGUUCUAUGCCCUGGACAAAGAAGUAUGUUUGCCUAUGACCCCAUACCAGGGCCUUCUUUCAGAACUAGGAUAGCAUUGUCCUGUCUGUUGGGGAGGAUGGUUUAGAUAGACUGCAGCUCCAGCCUCCUUUUGCUUUGGCCAGCUGGCCUUCUCACUUUGAUACUUUAACUCAGGUACCCAGUCUUCACUCCAUCCCAAUGCUUGUUCACCUCAUAAUGAGCACCUAGAGCAAGGACCAAAAGAAAAAAAAACCCUAAUUAAAACCAAUGCAUAUUCAUGCCAAAACAAAUGGUCCCCAUGCCCGUUUAAAAGGUUAACUUUGUCUGACAAUAUUGCAUCAGCUUUGGGCAAGAGUACCACAGGACGCUAUGACCUUGCUGGGCUAGCAUUUGCUGCUGUAAUUUAGUUGCCCUGGUAUAAAAGAGAACCCACAGGGCUGUGGGAGAGACAAUCCAGUGGCAACCCACUGACUUCUCUCUCCAUUCCACAGGAACCCUAUCUUCCCCGACCCCAAAUGUCACUGUGACCCAUAAGCUGAAAUUGUUUCUAACUGCCUAAAGGCAGUUUCUGUUCUGAAGGAAGAGUCUGGAGCUUCAAAGAGACAGGGAAGCCUGUACUGAUUCCCCAUCUUCCUCUAGCAGACUGUCUUGGGAAGGACCUUCAGUCCUGGACAGGCCCUGUCAUGGCUUCUCACUGUCUUACCCCUGCUCACUCACCAGGCCCACAGUUGUCUGCACUCAGUGCUGCUUGUAACACAUCUGUUAUCCUGCCUACCUGUACUUUUUGCUCCCCAUCCCUGUUGCCUUUGAGUUUCUUGGAAUCGUGGCUGUCCUCGAAAUCUCUUCUGUUCAGCCCUUCUGUAGCCUUGCUCAAUGGUGUUUUUAGCACUUGAUCUGAGAAAAGCUUGCCCAUAAUUUAAUGCUUCUUUUCCUUAAAAAAAAAUCCCACUAAAGGGAAGCAUUUUUUGAUCCCCUUGUCCAUGCUUGUGCCUAGCCCGGGUGAAUGAGGCUGGCUGUGUUGGCCUGGGUGACUUGUGGUUGUAGAGGUGGCCAUCACUCUGCACUGUUGAUGGCUGGCUGCUCCAGUUUUAGGUCCUUUGUAUACUCAGUGUGUCCCGGCAAUGAAGGCUUCCUACUCCUUAAGAGGUACAGUUGGGGGGUUGGGGAUUUAGCUCAGCGGUAGAGCGCUUGCCUAGCAAGCGCAAGGCCCUGGGUUCGGUCCCCAGCUCCG
rnacentral:lncRNA from 1 species